UGCUCGACCAUAAACCCCGAUUUGAAACCACCAGCACAUCAAACUCCGCCAGAGAACUACAGGCACUUAGCCAGAAACUCCAAGGACUUGACGGUGUCCUAACACCCUAGAGGAGCCUGUCCCACAAUCGAUACUCCACGCUUGACCUCACCCCCUCUCGCACAGUCCAACCUGUAUACCUCCGUCGAAAGCCCACCUUGUGAAAGAAACCCCGUGGGCAAAAUAGCACCAUCCCUAGUACGUCAGGUCAAGGUGCAGUCAAUGGGGGGGGCCGCGAUGGGCUACACUCUUUAAAUUAAAGCCCCGAAAGUGCGCCAUGAAACACGCCCCAAAGAAGGAUUUAGCAGUAAACUUAACAAGAAUGUUAGCUUGAAGCCGCGCCCUAGGACGCGUACAC
rnacentral:rRNA from 1 species